GCCUAUGAUGACUGUGAUAAUUUGCUGCAAGCAAUUAUGAUUGUUUUAUGUAGAAAGAAGUACAUGAACUAGGACGGUCUGAGGC